GCCUCUUGUGCAGCUAGUCUCUCCUUUCCUGGGGAAAUUCCCUGAGUUGUUUAAUUGGUUUAAAAACUUUCUGGGCUAUAAGGAGUCUGUACAUCUGGAAACUUUUCCAAAGGAGCGAGCCACAGAGGGCAUUGCCAUGGAGAUAGAUUACGCCUCUUGUAAACGACUGGACUCCAGCUAUCGAGCCCUACCAAAGAGUUACCAGCAGCCCAAGUGUACUGGACGGACUCCUCUCUGUAAAGAGCAUGGUGGCCUCCGACUGGUUAUCUUCUUACACGGUAGCUCAAUCCCACAGAGG